AUGAACGCUAGCUACAGGCUUAACACAUGCAAGUCGAGGGGCAGCAUGGUCUUAGCUUGCUAAGGCCGAUGGCGACCGGCGCACGGGUGAGUAACACGUAUCCAACCUGCCGUCUACUCUUGGACAGCCUUCUGAAAGGAAGAUUAAUACAAGAUGGCAUCAUGAGUCCGCAUGUUCACAUGAUUAAAGGUAUUCCGGUAGACGAUGGGGAUGCGUUCCAUUAGAUAGUAGGCGGGGUAACGGCCCACCUAGUCUUCGAUGGAUAGGGGUUCUGAGAGGAAGGUCCCCCACAUUGGAACUGAGACACGGUCCAAACUCCUACGGGAGGCAGCAGUGAGGAAUAUUGGUCAAUGGGCGAGAGCCUGAACCAGCCAAGUAGCGUGAAGGAUGACUGCCCUAUGGGUUGUAAACUUCUUUUAUAAAGGAAUAAAGUCGGGUAUGGAUACCCGUUUGCAUGUACUUUAUGAAUAAGGAUCGGCUAACUCCGUGCCAGCAGCCGCGGUAAUACGGAGGAUCCGAGCGUUAUCCGGAUUUAUUGGGUUUAAAGGGAGCGUAGAUGGAUGUUUAAGUCAGUUGUGAAAGUUUGCGGCUCAACCGUAAAAUUGCAGUUGAUACUGGAUAUCUUGAGUGCAGUUGAGGCAGGCGGAAUUCGUGGUGUAGCGGUGAAAUGCUUAGAUAUCACGAAGAACUCUGAUUGCGAAGGCAGCCUGCUAAGCUGCAACUGACAUUGAGGCUCGAAAGUGUGGGUAUCAAACAGGAUUAGAUACCCUGGUAGUCCACACGGUAAACGAUGAAUACUCGCUGUUUGCGAUAUACUGCAAGCGGCCAAGCGAAAGCGUUAAGUAUUCCACCUGGGGAGUACGCCGGCAACGGUGAAACUCAAAGGAAUUGACGGGGGCCCGCACAAGCGGAGGAACAUGUGGUUUAAUUCGAUGAUACGCGAGGAACCUUACCCGGGCUUAAAUUGCAGAUGAAUUACGGUGAAAGCCGUAAGCCGCAAGGCAUCUGUGAAGGUGCUGCAUGGUUGUCGUCAGCUCGUGCCGUGAGGUGUCGGCUUAAGUGCCAUAACGAGCGCAACCCUUGUUGUCAGUUACUAACAGGUUCCGCUGAGGACUCUGACAAGACUGCCAUCGUAAGAUGUGAGGAAGGUGGGGAUGACGUCAAAUCAGCACGGCCCUUACGUCCGGGGCUACACACGUGUUACAAUGGGGGGUACAGAGGGCCGCUACCACGCGAGUGGAUGCCAAUCCCCAAAACCUCUCUCAGUUCGGACUGGAGUCUGCAACCCGACUCCACGAAGCUGGAUUCGCUAGUAAUCGCGCAUCAGCCACGGCGCGGUGAAUACGUUCCCGGGCCUUGUACACACCGCCCGUCAAGCCAUGGGAGCCGGGGGUACCUGAAGUGCGUAACCGCGAGGAGCGCCCUAGGGUAAAACUGGUGACUGGGGCU
rnacentral:rRNA from 1 species